UGUCAGCAAUACCAUCCCUCUCACAUGGCUAUAGUAGGUAUGGCAGCAAGCUUCCAAUAUAAGACUGGACCCAGAUCAACCUCACUUCAUCAAAAUAUGACUCUUGCAAAGCAUCAGAUCUGAGAAGAACCUAUCUUUGGCGUCUGCCAAUCUCCUUCAUCCCAUGCGAGCUUGUGCGAAAGAUUUAUCUUACUCUCAACAGCCGUCCUUCUGAUCUAAUGCUACUUGGAUUGAAGAAUCGGUUCCCUUGGCUGCGUUUGAGUGUUCGCAAGCAAGAGUUUUGUUCUUCAUUUUUCUGAUUUUGUUUAUGUUUAUUUUUGAUUUUGAUAUAGAACCCAGAAAAGUAGCAGAGAGACUAUGUAUAUAGGCCUAUAGCAAGCUUAGGGAACGAUUUUAAUUACAAAAAUUUAUAUAAAACUUGGAGUUUUACUUGUUGGCGAAUCCAUAGUUGAAUUUUUUUCAGGUGGAUAUGUCUUUUUUUUUUGCUCAAUAAUUCAGCAAAUUCUUUUUUUUUUUUCUUUGCACCUUAGAACGGGAGUUCAAUUAUAUCAAAAUACUAGUUUUUUUUUUUUUUUUUUGUGUUUUGGGGGUGGGGGGGAUGUUGAUUAUUUAAAACUAAAGAUUAACAAUUUAGUUCUUUCUUAUUUCUUAAUGUUUGGAAAUUGUAAGUAUGAAUUCUAAAAAUAGCUUAUUCGGUUAAGAUUCUUGUCUGAUUUUAAAAUUUCAAGCUGUGAUAGAGCAGUUUGGUGGAACUGGUUAUGAAAGCUCAGAUGUAAUGGUGAUAGAUGAGGUUGAGAGACAGAGACAUCAACAGCUAGAGAAACUGUAUAGGUCUACUUGUGCAGGAAAGGCAUACAUGAACUUUGUUUACAUUGUAGAAUUUUGACUUCAAACUAUGGCUGAAAAAUUUGUACUACUCAAUGUGAUGAUAGUUAGUGUAUUGAUCUCACAUUUUGGGAAAGAACAAAGUUUGAUUUUAUAGGUGACAUGACAAUGAAACCUGCUAGGCAUAUAUAGGUGGCUAUUUGUUUUGCUAUCUUGGAUCACAAGUCUGGGAACAUCUUGUCCUGCUAAUCUAAAAUGUCAGAUUUUUUUGAGGUAUUAUUAUUUCUUUUUGGUGCCAAACUUGUUCCAUCUGUCAAACUCAUUUUUCAUAAUUCUUAUGCUCAGGAUUUUCAAAAAGAAAUUGUAAAUGCAGCUGAAGCAUUGACAGCGAUAGGAUAUAAGCAUAUUGAAGCAGAUACAAUGGGAAGUGUGUGAUAUAAUGGGAAGUGUGUGAAGUUAUGUGAUAUAAAUGGAAGUGUGUGAAGUUAAUACUUAGUACUCUAUGAAAUUGGCUUAUCUUACUAAAGUCUGCAAAUAGAAAAUAUGUCAAGCCUUUGCGGUUGCGCUUAUUACUAUCUGUAAUCUUUUCGUGGUAGUCAGGUACCUAGUUGUCUGAGGAUUGUAAAAGGUAUGGAGCUGAAAAUGUCCCUGACAAAAUUUUAACUAAAGGUGCGUCUAUAUACUUUGAUGCUCGUAAGCAUGUGGAAAGGAACAAGAAGACUUGAAUAAGUUGUUAUCUUCACAGGAUUCUAUUUUGAAACAGACUUUGAACCGGGAAUGGUCAUUCACCCAAACAAAUGGAAUGAACAAUCUCACAUUAAUCGUUGAUGAAGUGGCAUGGGACAAACUGAAGCUUAAUGACUUUCUGAUGAAACUGUGAUGUAUGAAUCAACCUGCUCAAGACCUUGAGACAACAAUAUCAUGCAGUUUUUCCUUAUUGAGCUUUACUAGUGAAAGAAACAUCGACUUAUUGACCAUGAAUGUAUACUUGUGCGCAUAGGCUUGUAAGUUGUAAUAGGUUUCUUUAUUAGGUAGUGCAAUAAGCUGUAGUUACAUUUGUAACAAACGGUAGAUUUUGAUUGAAUGAUGAUGUAUAUCAAUAAAUUGGUAGACAUCAUUCAUGUA